UACAGAGGGUGCGAGCGUUGUCCGGAAUCACUGGGCGUAAAGGGCGCGUAGGUGGCUUGCCAAGCGUGUGGUGAAAGCCCGGAGCUCAACUCCGGGUCUGCCAUGCGAACUGGCAGGCUUGAGCACGGUAGAGGCAGAUGGAAUUCCGGGUGUAGCGGUGGAAUGCGUAGAGAUCCGGAAGAACACCGGUGGCGAAGGCGGUCUGCUGGGCAGUAGCUGACACUGAGGCGCGACAGCGUGGGGAGCAAACAGG
rnacentral:rRNA from 1 species